rnacentral:rRNA from 1 species
AGUGAACGCUGGCGGUAGGCCUAACACAUGCAAGUCGAACGGCAGCACAGGAGAGCUUGCUCUCUGGGUGGCGAGUGGCGGACGGGUGAGGAAUACAUCGGAAUCUACUCUGUCGUGGGGGAUAACGUAGGGAAACUUACGCUAAUACCGCAUACGACCUACGGGUGAAAGCAGGGGACCUUCGGGCCUUGCGCGAAUGAAUGAGCCGAUGUCGGAUUAGCUAGUUGGCGGGGUAAAGGCCCACCAAGGCGACGAGCCGUAGCUGGUCUGGGAGGAUGAUCAGCCACACUGGAACUGAGACACGGUCCAGACUCCUACGGGAGGCAGCAGUGGGGAAUAUUGGACAAUGGGCGCAAGCCUGAUCCAGCCAUACCGCGUGGGUGAAGAAGGCCUUCGGGUUGUAAAGCCCUUUUGUUGGGAAAGAAAUCCAGCUGGCUAAUACCCGGUUGGGAUGACGGUACCCAAAGAAUAAGCACCGGCUAACUUCGUGCCAGCCGCCGCGGUAA